rnacentral:rRNA from 12 species
AGGCGAAAAGAACCCCUGUGAGGGGAGUGAAAUAGAACCUGAAACCGUAUACGUACAAGCAGUGGGAGCCUUUAGGGGUGACUGCGUACCUUUUGUAUAAUGGGUCAGCGACUUAUAUUUAGUAGCAAGGUUAACCAUGUAGGGGAGCCGUAGCGAAAGCGAGUGUUAACUGCGCGUCUAGUUGCUAGGUAUAGACCCGAAACCCGGUGAUCUAGCCAUGGGCAGGUUGAAGGUUGAGUAACAUCAACUGGAGGACCGAACUCACUAACUUUGAAAAGUUAGGAGAUGACUUGUGGCUGGGGGUGAAAGGCCAAUCAAACCGGGAGAUAGCUGGUUCUCCCCGAAAUCUAUUUAGGUAGAGCCUCGGACGAAUUCCUUUGGGGGUAGAGCACUGUUAAGGCUAGGGGGUCAUCCCGACUUACCAACCCUUUGCAAACUCCGAAUACCAAAGAGAACUAUCCGGGAGACACACGGCGGGUGCUAACGUCCGUCGUGAAGAGGGAAACAACCCAGACCGCCAGCUAAGGUCCCAAAAUAUUGCUAAGUGGGAAACGAUGUGGGAAGGCUCAGACAGCUAGGAGGUUGGCUUAGAAGCAGCCAUCCUUUAAAGAAAGCGUAAUAGCUCACUAGUCGAGUCGGCCUGCGCGGAAGAUGUAACGGGGCUAAGCAAUAUACCGAAGCUGCGGCAGCAUACUUGUAUGCUGGGUAGGGGAGCGUUCUGUAAGCCGUUGAAGGUGAACUGUGAAGUUUGCUGGAGGUAUCAGAAGUGCGAAUGCUGACAUGAGUAACGACAAUGCGGGUGAAAAACCCGCACGCCGGAAGACCAAGGUUUCCUGUCCCAUGCUAAUCAGGGCAGGGUAAGUCGGCCCCUAAGGCGAGGCAGAAAUGCGUAGUCGAUGGGAAGCAGGUUAAUAUUCCUGCACCAGUGGGUAGUGACGGAUCUCGUGUGUCGUCAGUCCUUAUCGGAUUGAACUGGCGGCGAAGAGGUCCCUGGAAAUAGCUCCCACAUUAGACCGUACCCCAAACCGACACAGGUGGUCUGGUAGAGUAUACCAAGGCGCUUGAGAGAACUAUGUUGAAGGAACUCGGCAAAAUGCUCCCGUAAGUUCGCGAGAAGGGAGACCUCCACUUAGGCAACUAGGUGGGGGUGGCACAGACCAGGGGGUGGCGACUGUUUACUAAAAACACAGGGCUCUGCGAAGUCGCAAGACGACGUAUAGGGUCUGACGCCUGCCCGGUGCUGGAAGGUUAAAUGGAGUGGUGCAAGCUGCGAAAUGAAGCCCCAGUAAACGGCGGCCGUAACAAUAACGGUCCUAAGGUAGCGA